CCUCUUCAAUUUGCUGAGGGCAGAUAAAGUGAAUAUGAGAAUCAAUUCCUCCGGCAGUCAGGAUCGAACCUUCUCCGGCAAGAAUUUCUGUUCCAGGGCCAAUCACAAUGUCGACACCGGACUGGACAUCCGGAUUACCCGCUUUGCCGAUACCGCUAAUCCGCCCCUCUUUUAUGGCGACAUCUGCUUUGACUAUGCCCCAGUAGUCCAGUACAACUGCAUUGGUGAUCACCAGAUCCGGAGUUUCAGCUGACGGACACUGACUUUGUCCCAUUCCGUCACG
rnacentral:sRNA from 1 species